AUUGAACGCUGGCGGCAGGCUUAACACAUGCAAGUCGAGCGGGGGAAGGUAGCUUGCUACCGGACCUAGCGGCGGACGGGUGAGUAAUGCUUAGGAAUCUGCCUAUUAGUGGGGGACAACAUCUCGAAAGGGAUGCUAAUACCGCAUACGUCCUACGGGAGAAAGCAGGGGAUCUUCGGACCUUGCGCUAAUAGAUGAGCCUAAGUCGGAGUAGCUAGUUGGUGGGGUAAAGGCCUACCAAGGCGACGAUCUGUAGAGGGUCUGAGAGGAUGAUCCGCCACACUGGGACUGGGAAACGGCCCAGACUCCUACGGGAGGCAGCAGGGGGGAAUAUUGGGCAAUGGGGGGAACCCUGAUCCAGCCAUGCCGCGUGUGUGAAGAAGGCCUUAUGGUUGUAAAGCACUUUAAGCGAGGAGGAGGCUACUUUAGUUAAUACCUAGAGAUAGUGGACGUUACUCGCAGAAUAAGCACCGGCUAACUCUGUGCCAGCCGCCGCAGUAA
rnacentral:rRNA from 1 species